UUUCAUGGAAACCAGUUCAGUAGUUUAUAUAUCACAUUCAUUUUGAUGUGUAAUAUCCAAAACACACUUGUAACUGCUUAUAUUUACAUUUUUACUCAACACAAUCAGUAGUAUUAACUUGGCCUAAAUUAUUUAUUACAUAUUCCUUUCAAACUUAAAUUAUACUCCUUGUUAAUUUUUUUCCUUUUGUUCCCUUUAGUUCUUGUCUAUUCUGAGCAAGAGUGCUGUCCUUGAGUAUUUGAACAUUGUUGUGGAAUCACAGGAUGUUCCGAUAUCCUUCUUUGCACGUCAAGAGCACCAUCUCCAGUAUUUCCUGCUAAAACUAGCUAAUAAUUUGAUUGAAGCAACUGAUUCAGAUGAGUUUUCAAGUCAUGU